rnacentral:lncRNA from 1 species
AUUCCAAUAAUGUCAAUUAUCAUGUUUACAUCGACUCCUUCAACUCAUCUCACAACUCUCUCACCUCAUGUGAAGAAGACGCAGUUAGUCUACAAGCCCGAUUUUUCUCUGAGACCCUCGAAAAAGCUUCAGUACUUGGUACCCAUUUUUGCAAGUGCUGAUGAGGGGUCUGGAGUAGUUUCUACCGUUACAGUAGAGGAUGAGAAACCUUCUGAAAGUCCUGUGAGUGCUGGGGAGAAUCUAGGUUCUAACGGGUCUCCGCCGCUGGCCGUUGCCGAGGCUCCGGAGCCGCCUACCGAGGAGGUUGGAGUGAGUUCGAAUAAAUUUCAGGAUCCCAAAUGGGUUGGAGGGACUUGGGACUUGACGCAGUUCGCGAAAGAUGGGAAGACCGAUUGGGACGCUGUUAUUGAUGCUGGUGACUUUUCUCUCCCUUCUCUCUAUAUAUGCUGCUAUGCUUAGUAGAACAGGUUAGGGUAAACAUAAAUUGGUGUCGUGUGGUUGAUAAUUCUUAAUGAUCUGCUUACUUUGGAUCUUUUAGUAAAUGUAGUAAGAAAUUAUACAGCAUGACAAAUAGAUUAUCAUGAUUGACCCAAAUUUAUUCGAUAUACGACUUAUACUUUUUCUUGAUCCAUUAACCAAUGCUUCUGCGCCUCUUGUGCUUCAAGAAACUUAAGUUUAACUGCCUGAGGUGUGGGUGUGGUGACUAAAUAGGAAUAAACUGGUCAAAUAUGUGAACUUUAUGUUCACUAUUGGAACAUUUUGGCUUCCCUGGAAAGCUGGGAAAUGGUAGAGAAAUAUGUGUCUGAUGGUGGAGGGGGUUAAACACUAGUCGAAGGCAUUGCUAAAAUGCCUCGUGGCAAUGGAAAAAGGGUUUCGUCCCUUGAAGCUUAUUCCUCAUGUGAUGAGGACUCAGCAUGCCCCCUCAACCGCCUUUUAUGCCCUAUCAUUUAGGAUAGAACUACGGAUAUGGCAAAAGUUACGAAGCUUUAGAGAAGCUUGAGAGAAGACAAUAUUUUUGUUGAUGUAUUGGAAAUGUUGUCGUUCAAUUUAUCUUUUGCCUCAUAUAACAUUGGGCUUCAAAUGCUAAGUUCUGUGAUGAACUUUUAUGCAUUAUUUUCCUUGUCAGCUUGUCCAAGCUAAUUAAGUUCUUUUUUGUUUAUUAAUUGUCUUUGUAGAUGUCAGUUCUCUUAAUUGUGUCGUUACAUGUGCUAGCUCAUACUAGUGUCAGGUUAUAACGAAUUCAUUGUAGCUGCUUUCUUCCAUAUGGUUGGGAGUUUGUAAAAUUUGACUCGAACUGGAUUGAAAAAGGAUGUUUUUGGUUGCAUGGAAGUGCAUUGAGGUUUAAACAUUAUUGCAUGAUUUGGUAUUAUUCCUGCUCUAAGAGUUCUUGUCUGUGUAUCUAUCACUGGAUUGACCUCUCGAACAUUUUAAAGCUCACGGUGACGGUUUAAAGCUGUUUUGACCUGAAUGACCUCAUUUUAAAACUAAAUUUAUGUGUUUCUUCUGCAAUUAUUUAUUUAUUUAUUUAUUAUUAUUAUUAUUUUUUUAAUUUUUGUAUAGAUUUGUUUAGAUAUUUGUUAAACUCUCUCCAAAUAUUCGUAAUACUCUAGAGGUCACUUGAUUUUCAACGGAUUAUGUGGUUAAUUCUUUGCAGAAGUGAAAAGGAGAAAAUGGAUGGAAGAUAAUCCUCAAUCAUCAAGUAAUGAAGACCCUAUUGCUUUUGACACUGCUAUUAUUCCAUGGUGGGCAUGGAUUAAAAGGUUCCAUCUUCCAGAAGCUGAAUUGCUCAAUGGUUAGCACAUAUCUUCAGUCCCUUUCUUGAUGGCAUAUUUGGUGCAUGGAACUAGAUAGGGCUAGAAAAUAUUAAACAAAAUAAAAAACUUCAAAAGUCUUAUUCAUUAUUCCAUCAAGUUGUAUAGUACUGCAUACCAAACAUGUACUCAAUUUUUAGAAAUACAUUGGGUAUCAAGAAUGUUUUGGACUAAUGACAUUAAACUUUUAUGCAGGUCGGGCUGCAAUGAUCGGCUUCUUCAUGGCAUACCUCGUAGACAGUUUGACCGGGGUAGGUCUUGUUGAUCAAAUGGGCAACUUCUUCUGUAAAACACUGUUAUUCAUAGCUGUAGUGGGUGUUCUUCUGAUAAGAAAGAACGAGGAUAUUGAAACCCUUAAGAAAUUGCUGGAGGAGACGACAUUUUAUGAUAAGCAGUGGCAAGCAACUUGGCAGGAUGAGGCGUCAACCAAAUCUGAUAAGGACUAGAGAAAUUGUGGCGUCUAGUUUUUCUUGACUGAGACGGUUUCUGAGCAUCUUUAUUCGCUAUAUUUGAGAAUCUUGAUUUUCGAUGGCUGAUUAUGUUUUUUAUUUUUUUAGUAUUAUAUCAAUAUCUUAUGAGAAUAUGCAUGUUUUAGAUGAUUCUCAAGGAUGGCAACAGGGCGGGUGUGAGUGUGAAAAGCCCUCCCUGUCUCCUUCCCUGCCACGUGUAUGUGCCCGCAUUUCGUUGCUUCACUCUGUUCAAGUCACAAUGGAAACUCUUUCCAUUACAUUCCUCUGUAUUUCACUUUGUUCACUUUUCUACAGUAACUAUGUUACCUUCGUUAUGUUCACUUUGUUCAAUAGGGGAGCUCAAUUUCUCUCAUAACUGUGCAAUCUAUGAAGUUUAUGGCUUUUGUCUGUGCUUCGCUCGAGUAAAGUGGCAACUGUGCUCUUCCUGUCACAGCUUACAGCAGUUGGAGUGGGAGCUUGUCCCGAAGCCUUGUGGACUUUUGAGUCUCUCUCCCCAUUUCAUUUCGAGGUAGUUUCCACAGUUUUUGUGUCACUAAGCCCUCGUUCGGUAGCCAUUAAUUGUCAAAAUGAAUUUUUUCUAUCGCAUAGAGAGAGGGGGGGGGGGGGGGAUUUUUUUUUUCCCAAUUCUUGCUAAUUCAAACUGACGAAACAAUUCUAUCACUAUGUUGGAGGUAGAUGGGGUUACUUAUGAGGAACCGCAUGAUAUCGGGACCUAACUAGUGAGUUUCUCUCAAACUCUUUAUCAGGAGCAGUUUGACUCGAGGCUGGAAUUGGAAGGCUAGACUUUUUCUACUAUUAAUGAGGAGAAUGCCGAUUGGUUAGAGAGACCAUUUGAGGAGGAUGAAAUUAAGGAGGUGGUGUUCAGAAUGAAUGACGACAAGGAUCCAAGAUCGGACAAUAUUUCUUUCUCAUUCUAUAAGGUUUGUUGAGAAGUGGUGCGAUCGGAUAUUAUGGUUGUCCUUACUUGGUUUUUCCAGUGUGGCAGGUUCUUGAGAAACUCCAAUGCUACAUUUAUUGUGUUGAUUCCUAAGAAAUCGGGAGCAACGGAUAUUAAAGACUUUCGUCCUAUCAGUUUAUUGAGUGGGAUAGACAAGAUUAUUGCGAAGAUUCUGGCGAAUUGAUUAAAGGAGGUGCUAGAGAAAGUGGUGUCUAAGUUUCAAAUUGCUUUUGUCAAUGGGUGCCAAAUUAUGGAUUCCAUACUUAUGGCGAAUGAAUGCAUCGACUUAAGAAUGCGUCUAGGGGUUCCAGAGAUGUUAUUUAAGCUUGACAUUCAAAAGGCUUAUGAUCACUUAAAUUGGGAAUUUCUUUUGUAUAUGCUCAGACAAUGUGGCUUCUGAGAUAAGUGGUGCCAGUAGAUUUUUGUUUUGUAUCUCUACUGUUUCUUUCUCAGUUAUGGUGAAAGACACUCUUGAGAGUUAUUUUCGGAGUAGUAGAGGAUUAAGGCAAGUGAAUCCUUUGUCUCCAUUACAAGGGGUUUAUGAUUGAUUAGCUGCAGGUAUCUCAUUUGUUGUUUGCAUUAUUGCAUAUGAUACACUAAUCUUUUGUGAUGCAGAUGUUGAGCAAUUCAGGAACCUGUGUCGUUUGCUUCUGUGUUUUGAAGCUAUAUUUGGACUGAAGAUAAAUCUUGGGAAAUCUGAAGCUAUCACAGUGAGAAAGGUCGAGAACGUGGAGGAGUUGACUGCUUUAUUGGGUUGUAAGGCUGCUUAUGUCAUAUCUUGAGCUUCCUUUAGAAGCACGGUUUAAAAGUAUACAUUUUUGGAACAAUAUUAUGGAAAGGGUGGAGAAAAGGCUAGUGGAGUGGAAGCGUAUGUACCUCUCAAAGGAUGGUCGUCUUACUCUCAUUAAGUCUACUUUAUCGAAUCUUCCUACUUAUUUUUUAUCAUUGUUUCCUAUUUUUGCUGCAGUGGCAAAAAGAUUGAAGAGGAUUCAAAUGGAGUUUCUGUGGGGAGGAGUAGGGAAGGAGAAGAAAUUAUAUUUGGUUAACUGGGAUGCAGUUUGUUCUCCAAGGUGUGGAUUUUCGGAUUGAGGAGCCUUGUAUUGUUUAAUAAGGCCUUGUUGGGUAAGUGUUUGUGACGACUCGGAAUGGAGAAGGAGGGUUUUUGGAAAGAAAUUAUAGGGGCAAAAUAUGAUGGGCAAGGGUUGGUGCUCAGUCGACGGCCGUGGCUCUUAUGGGGUGAGUUUGUGGCGGUAUAUCCGUCGAAGGUGGAUCUUUUUUAGGAUAGAUUGUCUUGGGAAUUGUAAUACUAUUAAUUUUUGGGAUGAUUGUUAGUUCGGAGAGCAACCGCUUAGGACAGGAUUUCCCUCUUUGUAUCCUAUUACUUUGGAGCUAUCUACUACGGUGAAUGAGAUUUAGAUAUACAUAUUGAAAGUCUCAAUUGGAACAUUGUUUUUCGGUGGGGUUUGUAGGACUGAGAAGUGGAUGAUUAUGCGUUGCUUCUGACAUCUUUGUAUAAGGUGCACUUCAGGGUAGGAGACGGUGAUUGUAUCAGGUGGAGGUUGACACGAGAUGGUAUCUUUUCGAUCAACACUUAUUUUAGAUCCUUAUUGAGACCCGUGGAGAGUUCAUUAUGUAAAUUACCUCCAAAUGUGGCAUUUUUACUUUGGACGGUUGUUAGGGAACAGGGGUUAAUGGUGGAUAACCUUCGAGCUAGGGUUUUUAUGUUAUAGAGUGGUUCUAUGUGUGUAGGAGGGAUGAGGGAGACAAUUGACCACUUAUUCCUUUAUUUUGAUGCUGGUCGUUUGCUGUGGAACGACGUUCUGGCAUUUCAACACAUGGAUUGGAUGUUACCGAGGUGUAUGGAAGACGUGCUAAAGGCAUGUAAGAGAAAGUUCCAUGAUAAGGAUAGCAAGCUUGUGUGGGACCUUAUUCUACGUUGUAUUGUAUGGAGUGUGUAGAGAGAAAUAUACAACCUCUGUAUUGAUUAUCAAACACGGACAACAAAGCAGAUUAUGGAAGUGUAUUUUUGACAUUGUAUACUUGGUUUAAUGCUACGGCUACUAGGCAUAUAGACGGGAUGCCCAAUUUCGUGUUGUUUCUUUCUGACUUAAAGUAAAUACACUUCCUAUGUAUUAUUCCUUAAUUAAUAAAAUAUUGGAUUACCUUUCAAAAAAAGAGUGGUCAAAGUCUGUCAUAAAAUUAAUUCCUAGCUUUUAAUUAGUCAAUUAGAUUAUAUAAUUAUGCAAGGAACCUCCUUGAGGGUGUGCUGAAAAAGAUUGACACUCUGAGUCAGGAAAGCAUGUCAACACGUUACAUUUGUCUUGAUCAGUAAAAGGUUUAGUUAUUACUUAUUGGUCGUAUUUUCAGAGACAAUUUUCAGUUGUCCAACAUACCAACAAUAUAUAUGUUCAUAUAUGAACUAAAAAAAAGUGCAUCCUACUCAUGCUUCCAACUCUCUUUAAAAUAAAAUGGCACUAGAAACAGUACUAGAAACUAUUUUCGUAUUAUAUUAUCCAAAACAUUCUACGUGUUUUUGAUCCACCGGUAAAUUUAGUUUCCAGAACUUACUAAAAGAAGUCUUUACGAAAUGAGAAAUCUUUUACAAAAUACUCCUGAAAAGGUCACAAUUUCUAACUACGAAUCUAUUUUACUUUAUAUCUCUGUCAUGAGAAGCAAAAGUGUAUUGAAUAAAAAACCACUGAAGAAAAUGGAAGAGUUGAGUGAGGAAAGAAGAGACUUGAAAUUUAGAGGAAGAUAGUGAAGUUUUGUACCGCAAGAGUAUAUUUGGUAUGCAAUGCUGGACAUGACUAAGCGAUAUAAUUGGUAAAAUUUUAGCUUUUUUUUACCUCUUUAAUGUUAUCAAGUACUAUUCAAUUCACUGUAGCAAACAUGCUAUAAGUGAAGUAGAGAGAGAGAAUGGGCAGAGUUUCUUGGAUGUUAUUUAAUAUACUUCUGUAUUUAUUAAAAAAAUAUUUCACUGAUGAACUUUAUAAUUUUGUGCAGCUUUUCCCUGAUUGUUCUCCACUUUCAGUCAAAUACAUCCUAGAGUUGUUGGCAGUACGCCAUUGUGCAGGUUGCCAUUUCUAUCGAGCAGAAAGUCGUGGUCAAUCUUGGGAUGCAAAAGGAAAACACAUCGAAGAUGUAAGAACUAAACAUUGUUUCUUGGUCUUGUGCAUCCCUGAUCAUUGUAUUUGCAUAUGUAGUCUUGACUACUAAGAGGAACUUAGGAGUCUGUUCUGUUCAUUCAGAGUCAUCAUUUUGAUUCAUUUCACUUGCCUGAUUAUUAUCCCCCCCGUUUGAUGGUGCUUAAAAGGCUGAUCAUUAGCAAUUUUGCAACUUUGAAACUUCAAAAUCUCAAUAAAAUAUUAAACAAACUGACCCACACCUGAUUUCAUCCCCAACAUUGCACAAUGUCUAUUUUCCCUCUUAAUUGUGAAUCCCUUUCUACCCUUGAUUUACAUGUUGAAAAAGACUGAAUUUUAUGCGUUUGAUUUCCCACAGCAAUACUGGUAAGGCCAUUUCCAGUAUUUCCCAUAAAUUUGGCAAAGACAUGCCAUAUUUUGUUGGAAAAGCGGCAUAAUUGUUUAACCAAUUUUAUACUCGCACACAAUCCAAAAUAAAAGAUAUUUUUCAAACUAGUGUCAUUUAGUUCUUCUUUCACACAUUUGUGAAGAGGAUGUUUGGCUAAGCUUAAAAUUAAUUCAAACUUACUUUUAAGUGGAUUUUAAUUCUAAACAUGUUUGGAUAUGCUACUUUUCUUAAUUGAAGUAAAAAAUAGUCACUUAUUUUGACAUCAAGGAAAGGGUUAUUUUCAAAAUAAGUACUUGCUUAUUUCCUACUUUGACCAACAAAAGAGUUAUUUUUAUUGAACUUAACUGUUUACCUAUAAGCAAUUAUUUUAAGCUUAGCACAUAUUCCUAUGUGCAUGCCUACAAAAUUCCAUGAAAUCUGUAGUAUUAGAUCAGUUUUAGAGGAAUUUAAAGCGGUAGAGAAACUAGAUAUCAUUCAUUUUAAUCUCUUUCUCCUUAUUACUUUUAUUUAUCCUCCUAUAAAUGUUUAUGGUCAAGAUUUGCUAACCUUAUUACUUAACUCUUUAUUUCUGUUUGUGUUUUUGUUUUAUGUUUCAAUGCGUUGGACUGAUUUUUUUAGUGACUGAUGAUAAGUUAUUAUUUUCCGCUGCUUUAAUUUGUUUGGAAAAUCAUCUGAUUAUUCCAUUUGCUGGAAAAUCAUCUUGAUUUCAUCUUCUUUUGUCUUUUCAGGCUUCCUUUGGUCCUCCAUUUGCUCUUGUUCAAGGAACACUUGAUGCCCAAGGAAUGACAUUCAAUAAAAUCCCGUCAGAGUACUGCCCUACCAUAAGAAGAGGAUCAGUAGCAUGGGUUGGCUCUGGUCCUGAAUUCUUCAUAAGCUUGGCAAAUCACGAAGAAUGGAAAAAUUCAUACACCGUAUUUGGUUCUGUACUUCCCGAAGACUUGAUGAUAGCAGAGAAAAUUGCUCAGCUUCCAAAAAAAUCAGAUGUUUGGAACAACAUUAAUGUGUCAGUUUUAGAAAACCCUGUACCUCUAAGGAUUCAAAGAAUGAAGAUUAGUGUGUCGUAAACUUGUAACUAGUUAUAUGCCAAUAAGAAGAUAUCUGAAUUGAGUUUUAACUGAUACUUUUUGUAUGAUGUAUUAUAGGUUUCGUUCCAUGGUUCUGCUUUUUGUCUUUGUUGUACCAUCGUUUAUUCGAGUUUUGUAAAUAUAACAAUGCAAAUGUAUGUUAUUACCUUUUUGAAGUUGAAGUUGAAGCAUUAUGCAACAGUUGCAGAACAAGUUGGGGCCAUUUGUUGCAUUGCUUCCUUUUUGGAAGAAGUGAUUAUUCUCUGAUCAAUCCCAAUAAAUAAUUUCUUUCAAACAAUCCCGUGAAUUAUUUUUUGAGCAAAGAGUUCUAGGCCGCGCUUGCGAGCACAUCGGACCUAGGUUUCUAGACUCGUGGUCUACACGGGGCCGAUGACUCUCUUUGUAGAGCAUCAUUUGCUUCACAUGAAUACAUGAGAAAUUAGUUGAUAUAAUUCAAGUUUGAUAUACUACAUCGCCAAUUCUAAUAUGAACAAAGUAGAACAUUUUGACUAAGUCAAAUUAUUAAGAGGAGGCAAACAACAUAUAAGUUCUGUUUGAUAUGACAAAACUGGUUUGAAAAGUUGUGCAUCCCGUGAAAUAUGAUAGAAAAUGAGUUUGAGAAAAAAAUGGGUUUUAGAAAAUGGAGGGUCAAAUAAGAGCGUAAUUUAAAAAAUCGGGUAUGUCUAGAACUAUAUAUGGAGGCAUUAACACUUUGUUGAGAAGGUGGAGUAGGAGAAAAGUAGUUGUGUAUUAAGAACUAUACAUGUAGGCAUCAACUACCAUGAUGUGGGUUGAACUGCCAUGAUCAGGGUGGGCUCAAUGAAAGAAGCAUUGAUGAGCACGAAUCUACCAUAGUUGAGGCUACAGAUGGUGGUAGGAAUGUUAAUUUGGGUUGUUUGCCCGGAUUGCUUGUGGCUCAAAGGAAGGAAGCCCAGGCUCGAGUGGAGCCUUAUUUUAAUAGGUAACUCAAACCCAAGCUGACCUGUGUAGCUUGGCCCGUAAUGGCUCGUGAUGAGCCAAACAAGCACGAACCAUUUUUUGCCCGUGUUUGUUGAAAUAGGCAAUAACUAUUGCCUCUUUAUGUCGAUUGCCAUUAAAUAGCAGUUGCCUUUUUAACAGGUAGCUAUAUAGCAGUUGUGAUACCUUAAAAAAAAUGAGUUGGUUGGGCUCAAUAAGGCCUCGAGCCGAGCUUAAAGUUUUCCUCCAAGCUAAACUCUACUUGUUUACAUUCCAAUAUAGUGACGCGAAUUAGAUUGGAGCGAUGCCAUAGUUAAGCUAGAGUUCGAAUUGCAGAUAUGAGAUUUAUAUACGGACUUGGUGUUGUUUUGUGGGUAAGUAGGGGUGGAGGAGUUGGUAGUUGUUGAAUUUUGGAUUUGUGGUGAUUUUUGGGGUUGGAUAUGGUGGAGGGGAUGGUGGUGAUGAUUGUGAUGGUGGUGAGAUGAUUGUAGUGGUCACAAGAUCAAUUAUACAUCAGAAAUUUUCAAAAUGAUGAUUUGUAGUGGUUUUUUUUCACACGUCAGUUUAUUGUAUUUUUGAUAAAAGGUAAUGACGGAGGUGGGGAUGCAUUAGUUAGUUAAAAUUUCAAAAAAUUACACACAACGUGACAACAAUAAUAUGAUCAGGAGGGAGGUGCUUUUUUAGAUUUAGUUUGCCUUCGGACUAUUGGGGGUUUUCUAUACGUUCUCAAACACCAUGAGGUCCACGCAGAAAUUCGCCAAAAAAAAAAAAAUGAGCGGGGCGAUGGGACUUUUCAAGGUUGGGGUUCAACCCCAUUUUUUAUUUAUUUUUAUUUUUUUAAGAAAUUCACAAAAGCUUAGGGAGUACGAUAUUAAUUACAAAGGCAGCUACCAAAAGUACCCCCUCGAAAUAUUCGGAUGAGGAUAGCGCAAAAGAUCACUGAGUUCUGAACUAAGCCUCUCGCUUUCCCUUCCCUUUUCAUAACACAGCAAAUCGAUUCCAAUAAUGUCAAUUAUCAUGUUUACAUCGACUCCUUCAACUCAUCUCACAACUCUCUCACCUCAUGUGAAGAAGACGCAGUUAGUCUACAAGCCCGAUUUUUCUCUAAGACCCUCGAAAAAGCUUCAGUACUUGGUACCCAUUUUUGCAAGUGCUGAUGAGGGGUCUGGAGUAGUUUCUACCGUUACAGUAGAUGAGAAACCUUCUGAAAGUCCUGUGAGUGCUGGGGAGAAUCUAGGUUCUAACGGGUCUCCGCCGCUGGCCGUUGCCGAGGCUCCGGAGCCGCCUACCGAGGAGGUUGGAGUGAGUUCGAAUAAAUUUCAGGAUCCCAAAUGGGUUGGAGGGACUUGG